UGUUGCAAUUCCGUGGGUGUCCCUACAAAGCAAACAUCAAUUAGAACCUGCUAAAGUAAUAUGCCUACAUCAAGUUUAAGCAAAGCAGUGCGCAUGCUAUGUGUGCACAUGCUUGCAUUGCAUCGCUCAUUAGUCAAUAACAACAAGGUUCUUAGUCCUGUGUAAAACAAAUCAUUGGAAUUACUUUCUGCAAUUUGUGGAUAUUCAGAAAAACAUGAGGUCUUAUGUUGAUGUCCUAAUGAAUAUCAUUCAGGUUUAAGAACUAAACUAUGAAAAGGACACCUGAAGAUUCUCAAUCAGAACCAUAGGCCAGUUGGCUUCAAGUUCUUCAGUCAACUAAUCUCUUAGAGGGAUACUAUUUUGAUGAUUUUCAUAUUUAAAAUUGCUGGUUGUGAUGUCAGAAAGUAAUUCAAGGUAUUCAUAUAGUUGCUCACCUUAGUGCAAUGGCCGCUGGAAA
rnacentral:misc_RNA from 1 species